rnacentral:pre_miRNA from 1 species
GCUGGUAAAAGAGAACCAGAUCGACUUUUGCACGGAUUUGGUCCCCUUCAACCAGCUG